rnacentral:rRNA from 1 species
UACAGGGGGUGCAAACGUUGCUCGGAAUCACUGGGCGUAAAGCGCGCGCAGGCGGCGAUCUACGUCUGGGGUGAAAGCCCGGAGCUCAACUCCGGGACUGCCUUGGAUACGGGAUCGCUUGAGGAUUGGAGAGGCAAGGGGAAUUCCACGUGUAGCGGUGAAAUGCGUAGAUAUGUGGAGGAACACCUGUGGCGAAGGCGCCUUGCUGGCCAAUUUCUGACGCUGAGGCGCGAAAGCGUGGGGAGCAAACAGG